AAAUCUGCGAAUAACCCUAAUUUUGCACUCCACCGUCUUCCGCCUCAGCACGCCAUCUCCGAUUGUCUCCUUCCGACAUCUGUGGCCGCGUCCUCCCCUAUUCCACCGCCUUCGACGGCGCGACUUUGCCUCCUUCUCGCAUCACCUCAGCAACGUCGUCCCCCCACCCCCAUCUCUGCCUCCGCGCUGCACCGAACGCCGACACCAGCGCCGCUCCUCGACCUGAAAACUUCCGCCGCUCUGUCACAAUGGGUGGAGGAUGGUGUAGCAAUAUGCCAUCUUGUUCGGCUCGGAAGAGAACAAGAUUAGGUUCAUCAACUUAUAUGGCCAAACAAGAUCAGUUUUGGCGGGUAGCUUGAGCCAUGAUCAAGCUCAGAAUCCCCGUACUGAUCUACUUGGGAAGCUCUAUCAAGGUUCCAAGUGGUGAAUUAACAAGAGCUGAACCUAUCUACUUGUUCUUGGCAAGAAAAAGGUCCCUCUUAUGCAAGAGGUAUGCUCACGGGUCCCCCUUAUGCAAGAGAAUGCUCACGUGUCCCUCUUAUGCAACAACUUAAUGCUCACGCGAACCUCUUAUGCAAGAGCUUAAUGCUUGCGCGUCCCUCUAAUGCAAGAGGUUAAUGCUCGUGCUUCCUUAUGCAAGAGGUUAAUGCUCUUGUGUCCUUAUGCAAGACCAUAAUGCUCACGUGUCCCUUUGCUUAUGAAAGAACUUUAUGCUCACUUGUCCCUUUGCCUAUGAAAGAGCUUUAUUCAAUUGUCCUUGAUGCUCGUGAAAGAACUUAGUGUUCACGUGUUCCUAAUGAUGAUGAAAUGGUUUAAUGCUCACGUGUCCCUUCUCUUUAUAAAAGAGUUUAGUGCCCAUGUGUCCCUCUUACUUACAAAAGAGCACAAUGCUCAUGUGUCACUCCUAAGCAAGAGCUUAAUGCUCACAUGUCCCUGGUGCUUAUAAAAGAGCUUAAAGCUCAUGUGUCCCGGUUGCUUAUAAAAGUGCUUAAUACUCACGUGUCCUUGCUUAAAAAAGAGUUUUAUGCUCAUAACCCAAUGAUUAUGAUAUAUCUUGAUGAUCAUGUGUGAAAGCGCUUAAUGCUCAAAUGCCCCUGUUGCUUAUCAAAAAACUUUCUCGAAUGUCCCUAUUGCAUAUCAAAAGAGCUGCUUAUGAAAAGAGCUUAAUGCGCACGCAGAGCUGAUACUCACAUGUCCCUCAUGUGUCCCUGUGGCAUAUGAAAGAGCUUACAGCUCACUUGUUCGUAUCAAUUAUAAAAGAGCUUAAAACUCACUUGUCCGUACUCCUUAUUAAAGCGCCUAAAGCUUACGUGUUCCCUGUUGCUUAUAAAAGAGUUUAAAGUUUACUUGCCCCUAUCACUUAUAAAAGAGCUUAAAGCACACAUAAAAUAGCAUGAAGCUCACUUGUCCUUGUGAAUUAUAAAAGAGUUUAGAGCUCACUUGUCGGUGUCCCUUAUAAAAGAGGUUAAAGCUCACUUGUCCCUCAUACUUAUACAAGAGCAUAAAGCUCUGUUGCUUGUAAAAUAGCUUAUAGAUGACUUGUCCCUCUCUUUCUUAUAGAAGAGCUUAAACCUUACGUCUCCCUGUCACUUAUAAAAGAACAUUCAGCUCACUUGUCUAUGUCACAUAUAAAGAGCUCAAAGCUCAUGUGUCCCUGUCCCUUAUAUAAAAGAGCAUGAAGCGCACGUGUCUCUGUGGCUUAUAAAAGAGCCUAAAGCUCACUUCUCCCUUUUGCUUAUCAAAGAGCUUAAAAGUUACUUGUCCCUCCCCAUUUAUAAAUGUCCCAGUCGUUUAUAAAAUAGCAUAUAGCUCAUGUGUCCUUGAUACUUGUAAAAGAGCUUAAAGCUCACGUGUCUAUCGCUUGUAAAAGAGCUUAAAGCUCAUGUGUCUCUAUUGCUUAAAGCUCAUAUGUCCCUAUUGUUUAUAAAAGAGCUUAGCGGUCACAUGUCUCUUAUAGAAGAGUUUAAAGCUCAUGUGUCCCUGUUGCUUAUAAAAGAUUAAAAUAAACUUGUCCAUGUCCCUACUAAAACAACUUAAAGCUCACAUAAAAGAGCAUGAAACUCACAUGUCCCGAUGGAUUAUAAAAGAGCUUAAAGCUCACUUGUCCUUGUUGCCUUGCAAAAGAGCUAAAGCUCACUUGUCCCCCCCGCUUAUAAAAGAACUUAAACCUCACUUGUCUCUGCAACUUAUAGAAGAGCUCAAAGUUCUGGGGAAGAUCACAUUUUCCUUUGGCGUAGAAAAGAGCUUAAAGCUCAGUUGUCCCUCUUGUUUAUAAAAAUGAGCAUAUAAAGGUCACAUAUCUUUAUCACUUCUUAAACAGCUUAAAGCUCACGUAUCCCUAUGGCUUAUAAAAGAGCUCGAAGCUCAUUCGUCCUGCUGCUUAUAAAAGAGUAUGAAGCUCACGUGUCCCUGUGGCUCAUAAAAGAGCUUAAAGUUUGCGUGUCCCUGUAGCUUAUAGAAAGGCUUAAAGCUGAAAGCUCAUGUGUCCUAUUGGCUUAUAAAAGAGUUUAAAGCUCACUUGUCCGAAUCACUUAAGAAAGUGCUUAUAUCUCACGCUUCCCUGCUGCUUUUAAAAGUCCAUGAAGCUUACGUGUCCCUGGGCCUUGUAAAAGAGCUUACAGCUCACUUGUACCCGUCUCUUAUAAAAGAGCGCAACGCUUAUGUGUUCCUGUUGCUGACAAAAGAGCUUAAAGCUUACUUGUUGCUGUCGGUUAUAUAAGAGUUUGAAGCUCACUUGUCCCUAUCGCUUACAAUAGAGUUCAAAGCUCACAUGUUCCUGCUGCUUAUAAAAGAGAUUUAACGGUCAUAUGUCCCUCUUUCUUAUACAAGACCUUGGUGCUCAUGUGUCCAAUGAUUAUAAAAUAGUAUGAUGCUCAUGUGAAAGCGCUCAAUGCUCACACGUCUGUGUUGCUUAUGAAAGAACUUUUUCAAUCGUCCCUUUAAUGCUCAUGUUUCUCCUAGAAUUUGGUGCUCACAUGUUCCUAUUGCUUAUCAAAGAGUUUAAAGCUCACUUGUCCCUGUCAUUUAUGAAAGAGUUUAACGCUCACUUGUUCCCAUCAUUAAUUAAAGUGCUUAAAGCAUAACGCUCACUUGUCCCUGCUGCUUAUUAAAGAGCAUAAAGCCCACUUGUCCCUAUGGCUUAUGGAAAAGCUUAAAGGUUGCUUGUCCCUGUCUUUUAUAGAAGAGUUUAAAGCUCAUGUGUCCCUGUUGCUUAUAAAAGAGAUUAAAAUAAACUUGUCCAUGUCCCUACUAAAACAACUUGAAGCUCACAUAAAAGAGCAUGAAACUCACGUGUCCCUAUGGAUUAUAAAAGAGCUUGAAGCUCACGUGUCCAUGUGGCUCAUAAAGGAGCUUAAAGUUUGCUUGUCCCUGUAGCUUAUAAAAGGGCUUAAAGCUGAAAGCUCAUGUGUCCUAUUGCUUAUAAAAGGGUUUAAAGCUCACUUGUCCCAAUGGUUUAUAGAAGAGCUUAAAGCUCACUUGUCCGAAUCACUUACGAAAGUGCUUAUAUCUCACGUGUCCCUGCUGCUUAUAGAAGACCAUGAAGCUUACGUGUACCUGGGCCUUGUAAAAGAGCUUACAGCUCACUUGUACCCGUCUCUUAUAAAAGAACGCAACACUUAUGUGUUCCUGUUGCUUAAAAAAGAGCUUAAAGCUUUACUUGCCCCUAUCGCUUAUAAAAGAGCUUAAAGCUCACAUAAAAUAGCAUGAAGCUCACUUGUCCUUAUCAAUUAUAAAAGUGUUUAGAGCUCACUUGUCAGUGUCUUAUAAAAGAGGUUAAAGCUCACUUGUCCCUCCCACUUAUACAAGAGCAUAAAGCUCACGUGUCCUGGUUGCUUGUAAAAUAGCUUAUAGCUGACUUGUCCCUCUCUCUUUUAUAGAAGAGCUUAAUCCUCACAUCCCCCUGUCACUUAUAAAAGAGCAUUCAGCUCACUUGUCUAUGUCACUUAUAAAGAGCUCAAAGCUCAUGUGUCCCUGUCCCUUAUAAAAGAGCAUGAAGCGCACAUGUCUCUGUGGCCUAUAAAAGAGCUUAAAGCUCACUUCUCCCUAUUGCUUAUCAAAGAGCUUAAAAGUUACUUGUCCCUGUCCAUUUAUAAAUGUCCCUGUCGUUUAUAAAAUAGCAUAUAUCUCAUGUGUCCUUGAUACUUGUAAAAGAGCUUAAAGCUCACGUGUCUAUCACUUAUAAAAGAGCUUAAAGCUCAUGUGUCUCUAUUGCUUAAGGCUCAUAUGUCCCUAUUGUUUAUAAAAGAGCUUAGCGGUCACAUGUCUCUUAUAGAAGAGUUUAAAGCUCAUGUGUCCCUGUUGCUUAUAAAAGAUUAAAAUAAACUUGUCCAUGUCCCUACUAAAACAACUUAAAGCUCACAUAAAAGAGCAUAAAACUCACGUGUCCCGAUGGAUUAUAAAAGAGCUUAAAGCUCACUUGUCCUUGUCGCUUAUAAAAGAGCUUGAAGCUCAUUCGUCCUGCUGCUUAUAAAAGAGUAUGAAGCUCACGUGCCUGUGGCUCAUAAAAGAGCUUAAAGUUUUCUUGUCCCUGUAGCUUAUAAAAGGGCUUAAAGCUGAAAGCUCAUGUGUCCUAUUGGCUUAUAAAAGGGUUUAAAGCUCACUUGUCCCAAUGGUUUAUAGAAGAGCUUAAAGCUCACUUGUCCGAAUCACUUAAGAAAGUGCUUAUAUCUCACGCGUCCCUGCUGCUUUUAAAAGACCAUGAAGCUUACGUGUCCCUGAGCCUUGUAAAAGAGCUUACAGCUCACUUGUACCCGUCUCUUAUAAAAGAGCGCAAUGCUUAUGUGUUCCUGUUGCUUACAAAAGAGCUUAAAGCUUUACAUGUCCUUGUUGCUUAAAAAAGAGCUUAAAGCUUACUUGUUCCUGUCGGUUAUAUAAGAGUUUGAAGCUCACUUGUCCCUAUUGCUUACGAGUUACGAUAGAGUUCAAAGCUCACAUGUCCAUGCUGCUUAUGAAAGAGAUUUAACGGUCAUAUGUCCCUCUUUCUUAUACAAGACCUUGGUGCUCAUGUGUCCAAUGAUUAUAAAAUAGUACGAUGCUCAUGUGAAAGCUCUCAAUGCUCACGCGUCUGUGUUGCUUAUGAAAGAACUUUCUCAAGCGUCCCUUUUCUUAUGAAAAGAGCUUAAUGCUCAUGUUUCUCCUAGAAUUUGGUGCUCACAUGUUCCUAUUGCUUAUAGCUCACGUGUCCCUGCUGCUUAGAAAAAAAACUUAAUUCUCAUGUUUCUUUGUUGCUUAUAGAAGAGCUUAAAGCUCACUUGUCCAUCUCACUUGUAAAAGAACUUAAAAGAGCUCACGUGUCAUGUUACUUUUGAAAGAGCUGGAUUCUCAAUCUUCCCUGUUGCAUAUAAAAGAGUUUAAUGCUCACGUGUCCCUUUUGCUAGUAAAAGAGCUUAAUGCUCAUGUGUCCCAAUAAUAGCACACUGCUCAUAUGUGAAAGCUCUUAAUGAUCACGUAUCUGCAUGAUGCUCAGAUAUCCCUACUGCUUAAAAAAAAGAAAAAAAAAACUUAAUACUCAUGUUUCUUUGUGGCUUAUGGAAGAGCUUAAAGCUCACUUAUCCAUCUCACUUGUAUAAGAACUUAAAGAUCACUUGUCCCUACUGCUUAUAAAAACAGCAUAAAACUUAUGUCUUUUUGGCCUACUGCUUAUAAAAACAGCAUAAAACUUAUGUCCUUUCGACUUAUAAACGAGCUUAAAGCUCACUUUUCCGUGCCGCUUAUAAACGAGCAUAAAGUUCAUUGUCUCUGCUGCUUAUAAAAGAGUUUAAAGCUAACUUGUCCUUGUCUGUUCUAAAAGAGAGCUUAAAGUUCAUGUUUCCUUGUUCUAUAGGGCUUUAAAGUCCACUUGUCCCUUUGGCUUAUAAAGGAGCUUAAAGCUCAUGUGUCUCUUCUGCUUAUAAAAGAGCUUAACACUCAUGUAUUCUUCUUGCUUGUCAUUGAACUUAAGUUGUUUCCAGUGAUUAUGAAAUAGCACAAUGCUCGUCUAUUAAAGCAUUUAAUGCUCAUGCGUCCAAGUUGCUUAUGAAAGAACUUGCUCAAGCAUCUUAGUUGUUCAUGAACAGUGCUUAAUGCUCAUGUAUCCCUUAGAGCUUAAUGCUCACAUGUUCAUAUUGCUUAUAAAAAAACUAAAAGCUCAUGUGUCCAUGUGGUUUAUAAAAAAGCUUAAAGCUCGAUUGUCCGUAUCACUUAUAAAUGAGCUUAAAGCUCACUAGUCCCUGCUGCUUAGAAAAGAGCAUAAAGCUCAUAUCCCACUUGCUCAUGUUGCCAACGAAAUAGUUUAGAGCUCACAUAUCCUGAUCGCUUAUAAAAGAGUUUAAAACUCACAUGUUUCAUUGCUUUUUAAAGAUCUCAAUGCUCACGUUUCUCUAUUGUUUAUGACAGAGAGCUCUUAAGCUCACGUGUCCUUGUCGCUUAUAAAAGAGCUUGAAGCUCAUAUGCCCCCAUUGCUUAUAAAAGUGCUUACAGCUCAUGCGUCCUGUUGCUUUUGGAAGAACUUAAUGCUCUUGUUUCCUUAUUGCUUAUGAAAGAGUAAUCUGCUCACGUGUCUCUAAUGUUUAUGAAUGUGGUUUAUGCUUGUGUGUCCCUCUUGCUUAUAAAAGAGUGAAUUCUCACUUGUCGAUGAUUAUUUUAGAGUUUAAUGCUUACGUGUCCCUCAAGUUCAUGAAGGAGCUAAAUUCUCAAAUGUUUCAGUUGCUUAUGAAAGAGCUUGCUCACAUGUCCUUAUUGCUUAUGAAAUAGGUUAAUGCUCAAUUCUCCCUACUGUUUACAAAAGAGUUCAAACUCAUGUUUUGCUUCUUGCUUAUGUAAGAGCUUCAAGCUCAGAUGUUCUAUUGCUUUCGAAAGAGUUUAAUACUCAUGUGUCCCCAUUGCUGAUGAACGAGCGAUAUGCUCAAGUGUCUCUCCUACUUAUAAAAGAGUUAUAUGCUCAA